GUGCAGUUCUAAGUAGUAAGGGCACAGAGCAGUCAUUGCCAAGGGAGCGCCUCUCAGUUAAUAGUAUCCAAGCCUUGUCCACAGGGAGAUUUCCCUGAAUACAUCUCUCAGCCUUCUCACUGCCUAACCAUGUUCCCAACGACCAUUCUGCUGCUAGGCGCGUUCUUCUCACUGAGAGGAAACAGUGCCCAGUCUGUGGACCAGCCUGACGCUCACGUCACCGUCUCCGAAGGAGCCUCCCUAGAGCUCAGAUGCAGCUAUUCAUAUGGUGCAACACCUUACCUCUUCUGGUACGUCCAGUAUCCUGGCCAGAGCCUCCAGUUUCUCCUCAAAUAUGUGGCAGGAGACACCACUGUUAAAGGCCACAAGGGCUUUGAGGCAGAGUUUAGAAAGAGUAACUCCUCCUUCAACCUGAAGAAAUCCCCAGCCCAUUGGAGCGACUCAGCCAAGUACUUCUGUGCACUGAGUGACACAGUGCCUGAGGCUGCAGGGGGAGCAGAGCGCAAACCUCCUGAGACUUUAUGUGCUCAUGGGCACACCAAGAAUGCCUCAUAGCAACGUCCCCAGUAAUGAAAAUCAGCUGUACUAUAUCAUGGAUAUUCCAAGUUUUGUUUUGGGGGGUUGUUGUUGUUGUUGUUGUUGUUGGCUAAUAUCUGUGAGUACAUACCAUGUGUGUUCUUUUGUGAUUAGGUUACAUCACUCGGGAUGGCAUUUUCUAGUUCCAUCCAUUGGCCUGCAAUUUUUUUAAUUCAUUGUUUUUAAUAGCUGAGUAGUACUCUGUGCAAAUAUACUACAUUUUCUUUAUCCAUUCUUGUAUUGAAGGCA